rnacentral:rRNA from 1 species
UACGUAGGGUGCGAGCGUUGUCCGGAAUUAUUGGGCGUAAAGGGCUCGUAGGCGGUUUGUCGCGUCGGGAGUGAAAACACCGGGCUUAACUCGGUGCUUGCUUUCGAUACGGGCAGACUAGAGGUAUGCAGGGGAGAACGGAAUUCCUGGUGUAGCGGUGAAAUGCGCAGAUAUCAGGAGGAACACCGGUGGCGAAGGCGGUUCUCUGGCAUGAUCUGACGCUGAGGAGCGAAAGUGUGGGGAGCGAACAGG